CUUCGCUUGACUCAUCUCCGGAGUCUCCUCCCCAAGAUAUAUAUGCACGUUGCUUUUUGAAAAGUUUCUUUUCCUUUUUGAUGUUUGGGCAAUUUGAUUUGAUGUGCCCAGUUUCUCCGCAUUCUUAGCACUUUAUUUGUUCUCCUUGCUUUUUGCCCUUUCGUUCAUACUCUUUUCGCAUGAACUUUUGAAAUCUUUUGAUAACGAGUCCAAACCCGUUGUCUCCUUCCUCAUCAAUUUGCGGUUGGCUUGUGCUCGCCUUUAGAGCUAUUCUUUGCCUCCUUUGAUCA
rnacentral:lncRNA from 1 species